AUCCAGCUGACGAGUCUCAAAUAGGACGAAAAGAGCUUUCCAGAU
rfam:Schistosoma curassoni strain Dakar, Senegal genome assembly, scaffold: SCTD_contig0004621